CUACGGGUUGCACCAGUGAGGAAUAUUGCACAAUGGGGGGAACCCUGAUGCAGCAACGCCGCGUGGAAGAUGACGCAUUUCGGUGUGUAAACUCCUUUUAUAUGUCAAGAAAAUGACGGUAGCAUAUGAAUAAGCACCGGCUAACUCCGUGCCAGCAGCCGCGGUAAUACGGAGGGUGCAAGCGUUACUCGGAAUCACUGGGCGUAAAGGACGCGUAGGCGGGUUGGAAAGUCAGGUGUGAAAUCCUACAGCUUAACUGUAGAACUGCACUUGAAACUUCUAAUCUAGAGUAUGGGAGGGGGAGAUGGAAUUAGUGGUGUAGGGGUAAAAUCCGUAGAUAUCACUAGGAAUACCUAAAGCGAAGGCGAUCUCCUGGAACAUUACUGACGCUAAGGCGUGAAAGCGUGGGGAGCAAACAGGAUUAGAUACCCGCGUAGUC
rnacentral:rRNA from 1 species